UGGGGAAUAUUGCACAAUGGAGGGAACUCUGAUGCAGCGACGCCGCGUGAACGAAGAAGGCUUUCGAGUCGUAAAGUUCUUUUAUAUGGGAAGAUAAUGACGGUACCAUAAGAAAAAGCUCCGGCUAACUACGUGCCAGCAGCCGCGGUAAUACGUAGGGGGCUAGCGUUGUCCGGAAUCACUGGGCGUAAAGGGUUCGCAGGCGGAAAUGCAAGUCAGGUGUAAAAGGCAGUAGCUUAACUACUGUAAGCAUUUGAAACUGCAUAUCUGGAGAAGAGUAGAGGUAAGUGGAAUUUUUAGUGUAGCGGUGAAAUGCGUAGAUAUUAAAAAGAAUACCGGUGGCGAAGGCGACUUACUGGGCUCAUUCUGACGCUGAGGAACGAAAGCGUGGGUAGCAAACAGG
rnacentral:rRNA from 1 species